AACGAACGCUGGCGGCAGGCCUAACACAUGCAAGUCGAGCGAGCAUUUCGGUGCUAGCGGCGGACGGGUGAGUAACGCGUGGGAACGUGCCCUUUUCUGCGGAAUAGUCCUGGGAAACUGGGGGUAAUACCGCAUACGCCCUUUUGGGGAAAGAUUUAUCGGAGAAGGAUCGGCCCGCGUUGGAUUAGGUAGUUGGUGGGGUAAUGGCCCACCAAGCCGACGAUCCAUAGCUGGGUGGAGAGGAUGAUCAGCCACACUGGGACUGAGACACGGCCCAGACUCCUACGGGAAGCAGCAGUGGGGAAUCUUAGAAAAUGGGGGCAACCCUGAUCUAGCCAGGCCGCGUGAGUGAUGAAGGCCUUAGGGUUGUAAAGCUCUUUCAGCUGGGAAGAUAAUGACGGUACCAGCAGAAGAAGCCCCGGCUAACUCCGUG
rnacentral:rRNA from 1 species